rnacentral:rRNA from 1 species
AACGAACGCUGGCGGCAGGCCUAACACAUGCAAGUCGAACGCUCGUAGCAAUACGAGAGUGGCAGACGGGUGAGUAACACGUGGGAACCUUCCCUAUGGUUCGGAAUAGCUCAGGGAAACUUGGGGUAAUACCGGAUAAGCCCUUCGGGGGAAAGAUUUAUCGCCAUUGGAUGGGCCCGCGUCGGAUUAGCUAGUUGGUGGGGUAACGGCCUACCAAGGCGACGAUCCGUAGCUGGUCUGAGAGGAUGAUCAGCCACACUGGGACUGAGACACGGCCCAGACUCCUACGGGAGGCAGCAGUGGGGAAUCUUGCGCAAUGGGCGAAAGCCUGACGCAGCGACGCCGCGUGAGGGAUGACGGCC